rnacentral:rRNA from 1 species
GACGAACGCUGGCGGCGUGCUUAACACAUGCAAGUCGAGCGGAGCGGCGAACGGGUGAGUAACGCGUGAGUAAAUGCCCCCCUCUCUGGGAUAAAAGUUGGAAACGGCUGCUAAUACCGGAUAGUGGGGGAUGAAUCGCGUCCUAUCAGCUUGUUGGUGGGGUAGUGGCCUACCAAGGCGACUACGGGUAGCCGGCCGGAGAGGGCGACCGGCCACAUUGGGCUGAGCUACUGCCCAAACUCCUACGGGAGGCAGCAGUUGGGAAUAGUGCACACUGGGAGAAGCCCUGAUGCAGCAACGCCGCGUGCGGGAUGACGGCCUUCGGGUUGUAAACCGCUUUCAGCCAUGGCGCGGUAGUGGCAGAAGAAGCACCGGCUAACUACGUGCCAGCAGCCGCGGUAAUUC